rnacentral:tRNA from 1 species
GACCGCGUAGCUCAGUUGGCAGAGCGUUGGGCUAGUAUUCCAAAGGUCGUAGGUCCGAUUCCCACCGUGGCCA